UACGUAGGCAGCGAGCGUUGUUCGGAGUUACUGGGCGUAAAGGGUGUGUAGGCGGUUGUUUAAGUUUGGUGUGAAAUCUCCCGGCUCAACUGGGAGGGUGCGCCGAAUACUGAAUGACUUGGAGUGCGGGAGAGGAAAGUGGAAUUCCUGGUGUAGCGGUGAAAUGCGUAGAUAUCAGGAGGAACACCGGUUGUGUAGACGGCUUUCUGGACCGUAACUGACGCUGAGACACGAAAGCGUGGGUAGCAAGCAGG
rnacentral:rRNA from 1 species